rnacentral:misc_RNA from 1 species
GGAGAGCAAGCAAGCACUUCUUUGGUUGGUAAGUGGGAAAUUCUAUUAAAAAAAGAGGGCGAAAAUGAACCCAACAGCAACUAUCCUCUCUAAUGAUCUUGCAAUCCCUAGAGGCAAAUAUAAUCCUGAAACUUUUACCACAAGAAUGAUGAACCUCCAGGUCACCAAAAUCUUCAUCUGAGCAACAUUUUAUCCAUUCCAUGACCACGAGACAAUAUUCUUAUUUCAGGUCUCUCCAAUUCUCACCCAACACAAUCACAAAAAUCAAAUCAGGGAAACCAAAAUUCAUGCAAAUUCCAAAAUUUAGCGCCGCAAUAAAGGAUUGGUAUCUUAAUAAACAAGAUUUUAAGGGGAGAAAGGAUACAACAUAAAGAAUUAUGCAUCUAAUUGAACCUUUCCAUGAUGUCAUACAACCAAAAUUUUCACAUGCUUCUAAGAGUAAUAAAUUAUUCCCUUCAACCUUCGAUUCUGAUACUCAAAGCAGAGUUUGAAAACUUAUUCAAGAAACUCUGACAUGUUAGCUGAGACAGUAAUCUUCUAACUAGGCAAAGGAAGAUACUUCUAUCCA